rnacentral:tRNA from 1 species
GGCGGAUGUAGCCAAGUGGCUCAAGGCAGUGGAUUGUGAAUUCACCAUGCGCGGGUUCAAUUCCCGUCGUUCGC